rnacentral:rRNA from 1 species
UACGUAGGGAGCAAGCGUUGUUCGGAUUUACUGGGCGUAAGGGGCGCGUAGGCGGCAUGACAAGUCACUUGUGAAAUCUCUGGGCUUAACCCAGAACGGCCAAGUGAUACUGUCGCGCUAGAGUGCAGAAGGGGCAAUCGGAAUUCUUGGUGUAGCGGUGAAAUGCGUAGAUAUCAAGAGGAACACCUGAGGUGAAGACGGGUUGCUGGGCUGACACUGACGCUGAGGCGCGAAAGCCAGGGGAGCAAACGGG